UGGACAUCCCGAGAAUAUCUAAGAAAUUAGAAGGUGCUUCUUUACGGAAGAACUCGGUGACAGGUGCGGCAUGGCUGUCGUCAGCUCGUGUCGUGAGAUGUUGGGUUAAGUCCCGCAACGAGCGCAACCCACGUCUUUAGUUGCCAUCAUUAAGUUGGGCACUCUAGAGAGACUGCCGGUGUCAAACCGGAGGAAGGUGUGGAUGACGUCAAGUCCUCAUGGCCUUUAUGACCAGGGCUACACACGUACUACAAUGGCAUGUACAAAGGGCAGCUAACUCGCGAGAGUACGCCAAUCCCAUAAAACAUGUCCCAGUCCGGAUUGGAGUCUGCAACUCGACUCCAUGAAGUUGGAAUCGCUAGUAAUCGUGGAUCAGCAUGCCACGGUGAAUACGUUCCCGGGCCUUGUACACACCGCCCGUCACACCACGAAAGUUGGUUGUACCAGAAGUAGUUGCGCGAACCUUCGGGACGCAGGCUACCAAGGUAUGGUCGGUAAUUGGGGUGAAGUCCUAACAAGGUA
rnacentral:rRNA from 1 species